rnacentral:rRNA from 1 species
GACGAACGCUGGCGGCGUGCUUAACACAUGCAAGUCGAACGGAAAGGCCCUGCUUUUGUGGGGUGCUCGAGUGGCGAACGGGUGAGUAACACGUGAGUAACCUGCCCUUGACUUUGGGAUAACUUCAGGAAACUGGGGCUAAUACCGGAUAGGAGCUCCUGCUGCAUGGUGGGGGUUGGAAAGUUUCGGCGGUUGGGGAUGGACUCGCGGCUUAUCAGCUUGUUGGUGUGGUAGUGGCUUACCAAGGCUUUGACGGGUAGCCGGCCUGAGAGGGUGACCGGCCUCAUUGGGACUGAGAGACGGACCAGACUCCUACGGGAGGCAGCAGUGGGGAAUAUUGCACAAUGGGCGGAAGCCUGUUGCAGCAACGCCGCGUGCGGGAUGACGGCCUUCGGGUUGUAAACCGCUUUCGCCUGUGACGAAGCGUGAGUGACGGUAAUGGGUAAAGAAGCACCGGCUAACUACGUG